ACGUAGGGGGCAAGCGUUGUCCGGAAUGAUUGGGCGUAAAGGGCGCGUAGGCGGCCUGGUAAGUCUGGAGUGAAAGUCCUGCUUUUAAGGUGGGAAUUGCUUUGGAUACUGUCGGGCUUGAGUGCAGGAGAGGUAAGUGGAAUUCCCGGUGGAGCGGUGAAAGGCGUAGAGGUCGGGAGGAAGAGCAGUGGUGAAGGCGACUUACAGGACUGUAUCUGAGGCUGAGGCGCGUAAGUGUUGGGAGCAUACAG
rnacentral:rRNA from 1 species